rnacentral:tRNA from 1 species
GGAUUGGCUCAGUGGUAGAGUGCUUGCCUCACAGGCAUGAGGCCCUGGGUUCAAUUCCUCAGCUCCA